UACGUAGGGUGCGAGCGUUAAUCGGAAUUACUGGGCGUAAAGUGUGCGCAGGCGGCCGAGCAAGUCGAGUGUGAAAUCCCCGAGCUCAACUCGGGAACUGCGUCCGAUACUGGCGGGCUUGAAUCCGGGAGAGGGAUGCGGAAUUCCAGGUGUAGCGGUGAAAUGCGUAGAUAUCUGGAGGAACACCGGUGGCGAAGGCGGCAUCCUGGACCGGCAUUGACGCUGAGGCGCGAAAGCUAGGGGAGCAAACGGG
rnacentral:rRNA from 1 species